rnacentral:lncRNA from 1 species
UGAGAAAACCACCCUUGGUCGUUCUUUGCGCAUAGUACUCUGCAUGCACCGGCAAUGGAAUCCCAUUGAUCGCUCUGCAUCUCGUCAUAGGCGCUAGCACUACCCUGUGAGAGAGAUCGAACUUGCCCAUCUGGCAUGGAGUGAAUAGGUUCGCGGCCAUUUCGUGUGUAGCUUGUAUUCUGUCAAUAACGAACAACAAGGAUUGAUACUAAGAAUAUGAUGGUGAAGAUUUGAAGACGGUGCGAUGUGAGGUUGAUCAAUAUUGCUCAUCGGUUUUUAUAGUUUGGUGUUGCCAUUUGAACAUUGAAGCAAGAACUGGGAAGCUUCGCCGUAAUUCAGUUUGAACAUGGCUAGGUUUAAUUUUCUUAUGACUAAGUCGUCGCAUGUUGGGAAGGUCGAAUUGUAAUUUGCUUUCUUUAACCUCACUUUUCUCCUUGCCCUGCCAUGUGCUUUUUUGACUAUACAUGAGAAGAAUAAAAAAGUUGGGCGGCAUUUAGAUUUCAAUUCGGCCACUCAUGUAGGAAAUCUCAAGGGGGAGAAAAAGAAUAGUCUCGACAUGCCACUUUGCCUUCACUUAAGUCGGGCCUCCUGGAGUCAUGAGCACCGCAAAAGUAGCAAGGAGAGGUCCGGAGAGAGUUGGAAUAAACCCGUGCCUUCAUCUAUUGCAACCUUAUUUUAUGGAUUAUAUGGCGAGGAUAGUGAAUGAUGGUCGGGGCUUGCCCCUGGUCCAUGCCCAAUUCUCGCACCCUUUCAACAUUUUGUGUUGUUCUCCAUCAAGAUGAUGGAGCACUAAAAAUUAAAUAGUAGCAGUAGUAGUAGGAGUAGUAGCAGUAGGUAGCAGUAGAUGUAGGUAGCAGUAGUAGUAAUAUGGACAAUUGAAUAGGGAGAGAGAGAAAGCAAGUGAUGGUACUCCUAAGAGAGAUUGAACUUGCCCAUUGACAUGGAAUGAUGAGGUUCAAAGCCAUUUAACGUAGCUUAUAUCCAACUAAGAAUAAAUUUCCACACUCACAUUACAAACUCUCGAACAACACCGCUCACGUGCCAGCUUCUCUAGUGGCCAAUAAGAAAUAAAUAAACAUCAGUAGUAGUAGCAGCAGCAGCAGCAGUAGCAGCAGUAGUAGGAGUAGCAGUACUAGCUGUAGUAAUAGUAGUUGUAGCAGUAGUAGCAGUAGGAGGAGUAGCAGUAGGUAGCAGUAGCAGUAGGUAGCAGUAACAGUAGCAGUAGCAGUAGUAUGGACAAUAGAAUAAAGAGAGAGAGAAAGCAAGUGAUGAUACUCCUAUGAGAGAUUGAACUUGCCCAUUGACAUGGAAUGAUGACGUUCAAAGCCAUUGAGCGUAGCUUAUAUCCAACUAAGAAUGAACAAACCAAGAAGAUUAUAAAGCAUAACAUCGAGAACUGAAGAUGGCAGGCGAAGUUGGUAAAAGAGAAGGUCACAUCUAGCAUAAUUCCUUCUGAACAGACCAAGACGUCAUUGCCAUUUAGUAUAUUUCUUAUGCGCCAUCUAUAUGUAAUCUACCAUACUUAAUUCAAGAAACGACUAGAUUGGGAUAUUUUCACAAAAUCUAUUUGAGCUUGAAGCAAAGGGCCAAGCCGAAUGGGCAACGGGGAGAGGAAAUCUCCGUAAAAGCACAAUUAAUGUGGCACAAAGGGAGAGAAAUUCUAGAAUAUCGAUCAAAAUUACAAACAAAUUUAUGGAUAUACUAAAACCAAGAGAUUGACAACUUUUAUAACGUAAGGCUCUUUUCAUUCAUCAUUGUGAUUUGACUUUUAAUAUUCUCAUUGGGUCUUAUUUUAGAUUCCUCGCCUACCAUUAACCAUAUAAAAAAGAAACUGGACUAUAACAUUGGAGAUUGAAGAGAGAAAGCCCGGAAAAAAAGACAUAUAGAAAACAAAAUUGGUCUGCUAAGAAAGUUAUGAAAUCACUCUUUUAAAGCUAUAAUGCUCUCAAAGUACAAUUUAACCUCUCAAACUCUUUGAACAUAAACACAAGGAAAAUAGAAUAACUUUACUAAGAAAAGGAGUAUGCUUGUACAAGAAUAACGAACCAAUAUGUCUUGCGUAUAGACAAAAUCACUCGAUUGAGAUUGUUUAACUUCCGACAUACAUUUUUGUCUGAAAUGUUAAUAUUAAUUAAAAUAAAACUCAAAAUUGCUUAAGCACAACUUGCCAAGUCCAAUUAAGAUUAAAUAUAAUCAGGCGUAUUCAAUGGAAAAUGUCCGCUUGAGUGCCCAUGCCUUUAAAAAACAAAAACAUGGUUGCUUUCAUAUUCGAACAAAAUAGUUUCCUUCUUUUUUUCCUAUGUGGGACUCUUUUUUAUUUCCACACUCACAUUACAAACUCUCGAACAACACCGCUCACGUGCUAGCUUCUCUAGCGGCCAAUAAGAAAUAAAUUUCCACACUCACAUUACAAACUCUCGAACAACACCGCUCACGUGCCAGCUUCUCUAGUGGCCAAUAAGAAAUAAAUAAACAAUUGUAGCAGCAGUAGCAGUAGUAGCAGUAGUAGCAGUAGCAGCAGUAGCUGUAACAGUAGUAGUAACAGGAGGAGUAGGUGUAGCAGUAGUAGUAGUAGUAGUAGUAGUAGUAGUAGAAGUAGCUGUAGUAGUAGGUAGCAGUAGCAAUAGGUAGCAGUAGCAGUAGGUAGCAGUAACAGUAGCAGUAGCAGUAGUAUGGACAGCUGAAUAGGGAGAGAGAGAAAGAAAGUGAUGAUACUCCUAAGAGAGAUUGAACUUGCCCAUGGACAUGGAAUGAUGAGGUUCAAAGCCAUUGAGCAUAGCUUAUAUCCAACUAAGAAUGAACAAACCAAGAAGCUUAUAAAGCAUAAUAUCGAGAACUGAAGAUGGCAGGCGAAGUUGGUAAAAGAGAAGGUCACAUCUAGCAUAAUUCCUUCUGAACAGACCAAGACGUCAUUGCCAUUUAGUAUAUUUCUUAUGCGCCAUCUAUAUGUAAUCUACCAUACUUAAUUCAAGAAAUGACUAGAUUGGGAUAUUUUCACAAAAUCUAUUUGAGCUUGAAGCAAAGCGCCAAGCCGAAUGGGCAACGGGGAGAAGAAAUCUCCGUAAAAGCACAAUUAAUGUGGCACAAAGGGAGAGAAAUUCUAGAAUAUCGAUCAAAAUUACAAACAAAUUUAUGGAUAUACUAAAACCAAGAGAUUGACAACUUUUAUAACGUAAGGCUCUUUUCAUUCAUCAUUGUGAUUUGACUUUUAAUAUUCUCAUUGGGUCUUAUUUUAGAUUCCUUGCCUACCAUUAACCAUAUAAAAAAGAAAUUGGACUAUAACAUUGGAGAUUGAAGAGAGAAAGCCCGGAAAAAAAGACAUAUAGCAAACAAAAUUGGUCUGCUAAGAAACUUAUGAAAUCACUCUUUUAAAGCUAUGAUGCUCUCAAAGUACAAUUUAACCUCUCAAACUCUUUGAACAUAAACACAAGGAAAAUAGAAUAACUUUACUAAGAAAAGGAGUAUGAUGUACAAGAAUAACGAACCGAUAUAUCUUGUGUAUAGACAAAAUCACUCGAUUGACAUUGUUUAACUUCCGACAUACAUUUUUGUCUUAAAUGUUAAUAUCAAUUAAAAUAAAAUUUAAAAUUGCUUAAGCACAACUUGUCAAGUCCAAUGAAGAUUAAAUAUAAUCAGGCGUAUUCAAUGGAAAAUGUGCGCUUGAGUGCCCAUGCCUUUAAAAAACAAAAACAUGGUUGCUUUCAUAUUCAAACAAAAUAGUUUCCUUCUUUUUUUCCUAUGUGGGACUCUUUUUUAUUUCCACACUCACAUUACAAACUCUUGAACAACACCGCUCACGUGCCAGCUUCUCUAGCGGCCAAUAAGAAAUAAAUUUCCACACUCACAUUACAAACUCUCGAACAACACCGCUCACGUGUCAACUUCGCUAGUGGCCAAUAAGAAAUAAAUAAACAUCAGUAGUAGUAGUAGUAGUAGUAGUAGUAGUAGUAGUAGUAGUAGUAGUAGUAGUAGUAGGUGUAGCAAUAGUAGGAGUAGCAGUAGUAGCAGUAGCAGUAGUAGCUGUAGUAGCAGCAGUAGUAGGAGGAGUAGGAGUAGCAGUAGUAGUAGUAGAUGUAGUAUUAGGAGGAGUAGCAGUAGGUAGCAGUAACAGUAGCAGUAGCAGUAGUAUGGACAAUUGAAUAGAGAGAGAGAGAGAGAAAGCAAGUGAUGAUACUCCUGAGGGAGAUUGAACUUGCCCAUUGGCAUGGAAUGAUGAGGUUCAAAGCCAUUGAGCAUAGCUUAUAUCCAACUAAGAAUCAACAAACCAAGAAGAUGAUAAAGCAUAACAUCGAGAACUGAAGAUGGCAGGCGAAGUUGGUAAAAGAGAAGGUCACAUCUGUCAUAAUUCCUUUUGAACAGACCAAGAUGUCAUUGCCAUUUAGUAUAUUUCUUAUGUGCCAUCUAUAUGUAAUCUACCAUACUUAAUUCAAGAAACGACUAGAUUGGGAUUUUUUCACAAAAUCCAUUUGAGCUUGAGGCAAAGGGCCAAGCCGAACGGGCAAGGGGGAGAGGAAAUCUCCGUAAAAGCAUGUCGCGACCAAUUUUUCAGAUGAUGAACCACCUAGGGUUUGGCUAAUGGAUUGUUGAGCCUAGACUUAACUCGGGCUCUCCCAAGCCCAUACCAAUUCGCGACUUUCUGUUCAAGUUCUUAACAUGUAAUUUUUUAAUUAGGAGUCGCCACUAAUCUAUUUUUGGUGGGUCGAUUAGAAACCCAAGUAAAGUAAUAGGGGUUUUACUUUACUCCUACGAAACAGAGAUUUGGGUACGGGGACUUGGUUACACUAGAUUUCUCUAAUGCCCUUUCGGUACCAUUCUUUUAAUUUCAAAAAUGUUUUUGUAGGCAGUUUGGAUUAAUUUAAGUCUAUUUUCCUAACAUGUAAGGUGAUCAUGCGGGUACACAAACCACCAAUUUAACACCCAGAUAAACAAUAAAUAAAUUGCACAAACUUACCUCAAAGUAACGAAAGCAUCUGCAGUGUUAAAUUAAAAUCCACAUCAACAACCCUAGAUAUGGUUUCUAAUUAACACGCAAUUUUUAUUUUGUUUUCGCUUAAUUAAUGAAAAUCAUGCAAUAUGUAAUGCAAUGUUAAUUGAAUGACCUAAUUCUAAUGACAUGUAAUUUUUAAUUAAAUGUGCCUAGCAAAAAUACUAAAUGACAUGCAUCUCAAUGAAUCUAACCCUAAUGACGUGCAUAUGACAAUUUUUUUCUAAAAGAAUGCAUUUUAUCCUACAUAAUAAAACUAAUUUAAUCUACGACAUCUUUUUGUAUUUUUCAAGAAAUUCGAAAUUAGGUGAAAUGUGAAAAUUACCUAAUUAGAUUAAGAUCCUAUUUAAUUUAUAUUAGGAAUUAGGUUGAUUCACAUCCUAAUUUAAACUAAAAUAUUAUCUUAACCAAAAUAAUCCUAAAGUGCAAUAUAUCUAAAAAAGUACCUAAACUUAUAAUAAAUUAAAAAAUUAUCUAAAUUAAACUAAGUGCAAUUUUUAUCCUAAUAUGCAAUGAUGUGCAAAAUGUACCCUAACUCUACAUGAUAUAUGCAUGAUGAUUUUUUUGUGUUUUUGUUUUCUUUCUUUUUUUUUCUAAAUUUCGAAAUUAAUAAUUGCCAAAUAAUUAAACAUGCAAUUCAAGUUAAAAAAACUAGCAACCUAAAUUAAUUGAUUUGAUUCUUUUUUUUAAUUCGAAAUAAAAUUCCUAUUGUGAGCAUGCAAACCAUAGAACUACAUUUUUUAUUUUUUUUUUUUAAAGAAAACUAACCUAGGUAACACCACGGCAAAUCAAGCAAUAUUGGUACCCAAAUUGACUAACCAUAUCUCGCGCAUGAGAUCAGGUUGGCCAAUUUCACAUAAAUCACGAAUCGGAUCUCGGGCAGGAGAUUAGAUUGGCAAUUUUUUUAAGUAAUUGUGAGUCGGAUUUCGGGCGCGAAAAUCGGACUGACAAUCACUAAUUACAAGGAAAUUUCAUAUCAUGGAAUUUCAAUUUCACAUUAAAGGAAUAAUAACACUAAAAAGAUAAAAUAAAAUAGCAAAAAUAAUAAAACAAAAAUAAGAUAAAGAAAAUACCUAAACUUUCUUUUGCUUUUCUCUUUUUUCUUUUCUUUUUUUUCUAAAAAAGAAAAAAGAAAAAUAAAGCUGGUGGCCGGUCCGGUGAGGGGAGAUCGCCGGCUAGGGUUCCGGCGAGGGCACCGAGAGCGGCGCGACGGCGGCACAGCAACAGGGGCUUCCAGGAUCGGCGCGGCGGCAUCGCGGCACCAGGGGCUUCGGGAUCAGCACGGGACGACGUCAGCUCUGGGAGUGGGCGUCGCAGGCAAGGGACCCUAGGCACCGGCAGAGGCGAGGCGGAAGCGGCGACGGGCUGGCGCGACAAGAUCGGCGAAUAGCGUCGCGGGCAGGGACAGUGUCAGAUCUAGGCCGAUUGCUAUUCAGAUCUGUAGGCGGCGAGCGGCAUCGGGCUGCAGGCGUCGGGGCGGCGUGGCGGCUCUUCAGGACAGCGACGCGGCGGCAUGGGGAAGGUUGGCUCAAUGGCGGAGCGAUUCUAGGUCGCCGGUGGCUCAGCAGCCAGCGCAGGCAAGCGGGGACGGCACCGGCAGACACCCCCCCCCCCCCCCCAGCGAGGAAGAUGAACAGUCGCGGGGGGUUUUCUUUCUUCUUCUUUUUUUCGGUUUUUCUCUCUUACCUCACUUUUUCACUGUUUUCUCUUUUUGGUGCCCUUUGUUCGACGGAAAAGAACCCCCCUCUCUCGUGCUUUUCUCUCUGAAUUUUUUUUCCUUUCAAUAUGGCCGAAUGUCUCGAUUGCGUGGCCUCCUUUGCUCCCCACCGUACACGACUCCUUUUAUACACCAAAAAAUUAUAUCUCUGUGGUAUAUUUCAUUGCCAACUUUGCUCGUGCAAAAUACCAUUGAAUAUAUCAUCCCACCACGCACAAUAUUUUUUGUGUUUUUUUCCAAUAUUUCAUUCGAGAAUUUCCUUUCCAUCAAAAAUACAUCACUCGGUGUAUAUUGCCUAAAGUUAUGAAAAUCCUAACGGAAUAUGUGAAAAAUUUUGCACUCGCCGUCGGCCCAAUAAAAUAAACAAAAAUGUUUCCUAAACUAUAUGCCAUGUAAUUUUAUUUUUUCAGGGAUAAAAUUAACCCCUAAUUUUUAAUACGAUAAAUGUCUAAAUAGGUCGCCAAAAUAUAGGUGUCAACAGCUGCCCCUCUUUGAAGGUGAGCUCGUAGAGGUUGCCUUAAAAGACAAAUUGAGACCUAAAUUUUGACCAUGCACGUGCAGUGAAUGAUUUUUUUUGUCAGAACAUGAAUUCCAUUUUUUAAUGCAAUUUGUAUGAUGCAUGAAAAUGCUAAUGCAAAUGAUAGAUGAACCUACCUGGAAUAACUUACCUUCAAGGAUGAUAGAGUAAUUCGAGGUAGUGGGUGUUAUCUGUCUAGGACCCGUACCAUUCUACGGUCCCCUAGAAUAGUAACAUGACUUUCUGAAGAUGCUGCUUUCCCAGGACCCGUACCAUUCUACGGUCGCCCAGUAUGGCAGAAAGGAGCUGCUUUCUUAGGACCCGUACCAUUCUACGGUCGCCCAGUACGGCAAAAAGGUUUUGUCUAGGACCCCUACCAUUCUACGGUCGCCUAAACAGGGAUUCAUUUUCUAGGACCCGUACCAUUUUACGGUCGCCUGAAUAAGGAAUAGGUGUUGUCAAGGACCCGUACCAUUCUACGGUCGCUUCGAUGAAGAAAAUUAUUUUUCCAGGACCCCUACCAUUCUACGGUCGCCUCGAUGAAGAAAAUUAUUUUUCCAGGACCCGUACCAUUCUACGGUCGCCUGAAUGAGGAAAUUGCUUUUCCAGGACCCGUACCAUUCUACAGUUGCCUGUUAGAGCAAUAAAUGUUGUCUAGGACCCGUAUCAUUCUACGGUCACCUAGAUUGAGGUUUUGUUUGGCUAAGACCCGAACCAUUCUUCGAUCGCCCAGCCUUGCGGCAAAAAUCAUCCAACCAGGACUCGAACCAUUCUUCGGUCGCCUUAAUCAGAUUGAAUUUGGAGGAAAAAUCUUUGGGGGACAACUCCAUUGAGUGUCGGUGUAAAGGACUCUGGGCUAUGAAAGCACGCUAGGUCGAUAAAAGAAAUCCGAGCUACGGAAGCACACCGGUUCGAUAAAAUGGACUCUAGGCUACGACACGCUAGGUCAAGAAAGAGACAUUGGGCUACGGAAGCACGCCGAGUCGAUGAAAAUGACUCUGGGCUACGAAAGCAUGCCAGGUCGAUAUAACUGGACAGCUUGACCAAGUCAAGUGUCGAUGCACUUAAGAGAGAAUACAUGCACAAUGACAAGUAUUUUAGAGUAUGGUAGAGAUAUAAUUACCUAGUAAUAUCUCUGAUUCUUGGAGAAAAAUGUCUUUUGGAAUUUAGAUAUCCUGUGGAGGUCUUUCACCUCAUGGUGGAGGUUUCUCAUCUCCUAAUAUCAUGAAACAUUCCGAAAGGAACUUGAAUUACCUGUCAGACAUGAUUUAAAGCAAAAAAUGAUAUGCAUUCAUCAAAAAGAUAGACAGUCUGAGCUACUCUAGAAUACACAUUUCAAAAUUGAGUGAAAUUCUCAUUAAUUCAAUCGGGGUUCAUGCAUAAUGACCUUUGCAUCACCCAAAUUCCCAUUGGAGAGAAUUAUCAUUCAAGACAAUCUUCACUCAUAACAUGGAUUUCCUAAAAAUACUAAAUGAGGGACUUUCAGUUAGAAAGGACUUUCACUCACUCUCAUUUAGAGGCUAUUUUAUGAGAAUCACUCCAUCUCACUGUCAUCAUACCAACAAGGGUCUGAGUUUUCUCGCAAGUGGUACGACCUUACCAAUCUGAGAGGUCUUUAAUAGGGACCGUAAUGUGGGCUCGGUUAACGGCUUAACAAAGGGACUCUUUGAGUCAAGGCUAUUGAAAGAACAACUCUGUAAUCAUCUCCGAGUUUACAAGUCAAGAACCCUGCAAAAUGAGAAAGAAAUCAUCUUGCUCGCACUUUUUUAAGCGAUGCUUAAAACAUGUGAACUCCUAUGUUAAUUCAAGUGUCAUAAUCUGAAGAGACUUUGUAAGGGACGUAACAUAGGCUAGGUUCAUGGGUUGAGAAAUGGAAGGAUAAGCAAGCUCAAAAUAUGUGUAAAGGGUGAGAGCUGAUGAUCAUCUUAGCAUUGCCACCAGCUUUUUUUUCACCAUCGGGGAUUGUCUUCAUGAAGUGCCCCAUUGAUUAUGAAAACUCAGCAUUUGAGUUCUUUGAGUAUUGCUCCAUUGAGACUCAAUUCUUACAAUUGACAGUCACCUAUAUUGACUCUCUUUUUUCAUCUAUGGGUAUUGAUCUUGCUUUUACUAGGCACACUACUUUUUCAUACCCCCAGUUCUCAUGCAUUUUUUUCACUUCUUUCAUGGGCAUUGGCCUUACUUUUACCAUGCACACUGCUUUUUCUUCCCCCUUAGUUCUAUUUCGAAUUCAAUUUUUGCGCACAAUGCAUGCGUCAAACAAUGACACUCGAACUUUCAAGGGUCUUCUCUGCCUUUUGCCUUUCCCCAGUGUGGGGGGUGAUCACCAACUGGGUUUAAAGAAACAAAAUUGCAGGCUCAAGUGGGCUAUGCAAAAGAUAUAAGUAUGUAGGAUAGAGAAAAAAAUGCUCUUCGUCAUCCUAAGGCACUUAAAUUACCACAUGAAUUUAAUGUAAUAGCAUGACUAAAAGAUUAAUGCAAGUGAGAGCAAGAAAAUUUCAAUCCAUUUUCUUCACUUUAUGGUACUGUCUUACCCUCCAAUUUCCCCCGAUGUGGGGUGGUUCUUGACAGGGGUAAUUUGAUAAAAAUCUUCAUAAGUGUAUAAGGCUCAAAAUGGUUAAACAAUGGAUCACCUGCUGUGUUUGGGAUAGAGAAAUGAAUUGCCCCUCAUCAUUUCGGUCAUCGUACCUUUUGUGAGAGAACUCUUUACCUUGCAUAUUUGGAACUUCCUACACUCAUCUCACAAGUGUAUCAAGUGUAUAAGUAAGGGAUUAUGUAUAGGAUAAGGCUUGCCUUUCAUCAUCCUGAUGUGUCUCCUUCAGCAUUCUUAAGCAUUGAAGUCACUCCAUUGAGUUGUCUAUAUUGACAAAUCUCCACAUGAAAUUGGUGAGCUAAAUCAAUGUGAAAAUUCUCUUUUCAAAAGAGUCUAGAAACUUUAAGCAUGAAAAGCGUUUGUGACUUCAAACAAACAAUUUACUACACUAAAAAAUGCUCUUAUAAGUAUGAAAAACAUGAUUUCAAGCAUUCAUUCAAGGAAUUGUCCCACGAAGGGACUGUCUUAGCAAUGGGUGUCCUUGGAUUGCCCCUAUUAAAAGGGAACAAACACACAAAUUGAUCAAUCAGGGAUGAAAAUCCGAUCUUUGAUUUGAUGAAAUCUUGCUUUUGCCCCUGCAUAAAACAACGUGCAUGAAUAGGAUACUAUGCAACAUCAAAGUAAAUUCAAAUUGCACAACCAUUUUCGCUCAGAUCGAGAUUUUGUCUCAGUCAUGUCACUACUAGAAUCUGCAGUGCCCCCAAUUCGUCAUCUGCAAGGAAAAGAACAGCGCGUCAUCUCCCAAAAUUAUUUAUGUUAAAAAACGAGAUGUACCUCUUUCACCAAAGAUGGAUGAUCCUCUUUUAACUUGCCCCUCAUUUAAUGGGCGAGAAUGAAAAUUCCGUCAAGCAUGGAAAUGGAACACACUUUGUUUGGCCCUUCAAGAUGGAUAUUUAAAGUAGUAUCGAGAUGUGACUGACAUUAACUCUUUAGAAACUUGUUGAGUAACAAUUGAACCUGUGACAUCCUGAAAUUCGACCCCGUUUCGAUAAAGUGAAAUGGGCAUUUCGUCAAUGUGUCUAUGGCUCUUUUUCUCUGAGUUGAUCACUCACGAGUUAACUAACCUAUUGGGUAAAGCCGUUAAGGGAUGUAUCAGCUGUAAAAUCCCUAAAAGCUACCUAAUUGGUUGGAUUGAGCUAAAAUCACGUCUGAUCAAUUUUUAACCACGAAAUUGAACUCGAUUUCGCGAAUCGAAUAUUAAGCGCAUCAUAAUUCUUAUUUUUAGGAUCCUGUCUCAUUGUCCAUCAAAUUGUUGGCGAGUCCAAAAUUUCAAUAAAGAAAUUAUCGGAAGAAAAUUGAAGACCGAAAGAAAAUAGAAAGGGAUAGAGAAAAGAAUAUAAAGUAAGAAUAAUUGUAUUAGUUUUACUUUAUUUUUCCCUCUCUCCCUCUAUCUUCUUUUCUUUUCUUUUUCUUUCUUUUCUCUUUUCUCUCUCUCUUCUCUCCCCUCUCCCUUUUCCCCCUCGUGUGAUUUCCCCCACUGCCUACCUUCCCUCUCUCUCUUCCCUUUUGACCGGUCAAUCCUCAUCUUCUCUCUCUCUCUCUCUCUCUCUCUCUCUCUCUCUCUCUCUCUCUCUCUCUCUCUCUCUCUCUCUUUCUUCUUCUUCUUCCUCCCUCCGCACGCUCGAGCAAGCGAACCAGAACCAAAAGCUCGGACCAAAGGCUGCAGCUCGCUGCCGCCGCACCACGCGCCCGCGCCCGUGCGCCCGCCGCUCGCCCCCAUGCGCCGCCUACCUUCUCCUCCGUCCAGAUGCCCCUUCCCCCGAGCAAAUCCGCGCGACCCAGCCCCUGUUCCGCCCUUGUCCGGCCACCUCCAGCCGUCGUUCAACCCCGCUGGACUUCCCCAGCGUCCCCCUUACCCUCCGCCGGCCUUCCCUUGCCGUUUUAGCCACCGGAGCAGCCCCGAUCAGCCUCGACCAGCAACCUACAAAAUGGGUUUCCAACGGCUUUAGGCCCGCUUUUGAGCUGUUUCCGGGUUCCGAACCCGAGUCGUGCUUUGGCAAGAAUCGCUCCUCGCGUCGCCCCCGUCGGAUUGAUCCGAUUUGCAUGCGAUUUGGUGAGUAAUCUCACUAAUCCCGGAUUAGUUGGCUAAUUAUGCUUAAGGUUGGUUUAGUUUUAAUUAAUUAUGUUUAGGUUGUUAGAUUAGAAUAAAUUAGCAAUUAUUAGUCAAUUGUGAUGUGAUUUAGAUAAAUUGACUGCGCAAUUAGCAAGUAGACGUGGUCUACUAUUUAUUGGAAGUAUCUCGGAAAUUUUCCGACCCCUAAUCGGGCUUCAAUUUGGCGAUUCAGGCCUAAGUGAGAUUUUUGGCAUUUAAAUAUUAUUUUUCGAAAUUAAAUUAAUUAUUUAUUUAUUUUCUGAAAAUUCAACUGGGAUGGCUAGUGACCGGAAUAUUAUGCUGAUGACUGUGGUGAAGUUUGUUUAUUUAAUUGGGCCUUAUUUUGAGCUAAACGGAAUUUUUAAUAUUUAAUAAUUAAUUUUCGAAAUUAUUUAUUUAUUUAUUUAUUUUUCGGAAAUCAAGAUUUUGAUGGCCGAUGACCGAAAUCUCGUGCUAAUUGUCGUGGCGCAGUCCGUUUAUUUAUUUGAGCUCUACGUUGCAUGGAAUUAAAUAAAUUGUGAUAUUUUAGAGAUUUACCCUAAAUUGAUUGGAAUUGAUUGAGAUUGAAUUAUGGAUUAGUAAAUGGCGUGGUUAAAUUCUGCAAUUGAGUGUUAAAUUAUGCAAAUUGAGUGCUGAUUGGAUUUUUGGUAUUUAAUUCCAAAAUUUGUGGAUUUUGAUAUUUAUUUAGAAAACCCCAGGUGUCGGGUUUUAACACCAAAAAUGGAUUUUAAGUACUAUAUCAAAUAGUGGGGUUUGAAAAAUAUAAGUAUCAGUCUUCUGGUUCGAAUUGACUGUGUACCCACACACGACUAUUUUCGGGAUGUUUUUAAUACGAAGAAAAUAGGCCAGGAUCACUAUUUUAAUGGAGGCAUUUGAGUGCAAUGCACAGUAUCCUGGGCCGAGAUUGAUUGGUCGUGUGUUGGUUAAGAGAAACCAUCCUGGGCUGUUAAGCCGGAUGUUACCCAUUCAUUGGGACUCGGCUUGCAGUAGAUUCUGGACCUACGCCCCUUCGGGGAAGCCGUCUAAUUGAGAGACGUUGCCAUGCUCAUGGGGGAGACGACGCCUGGCAAUGCCAGAAGACCGCCAAUAGAGUUGACCGUACCCUUGAGGGGUGUAAUUAACAAUUGGAAUGCAUGAUGGUUGAGUUUGAUGCACCGGAUUAUGAGACAAAAUUGUGUGACAUGGUAUGGGACAUGUCAUAACGAUUUGGCCCUAUAAUCUGGACCCUUGUGAUUUAUUGAGUUGAGUGAUGCGCUUCAAUUGCUGGAUGUAUCGAUUCUAUACAUAAGGUAUGCGAAUUGUACUGACUUGCAGGUGGAAUCUAAGGCCAAGGUAAGUCCUCUGCCCUGUGCGUGUUUAGGCAGCCUAUAGUAUAAUGGUUUAUUAUUCGGGCUUAGUGGGGUAGAACUCGCUGAGACGUAGUCUCAUCCCAGUUUGGGGAAAACAUUUCAGGACUCCGUUGAGGAGCUGAGGAGGAGGAGUUUGAGAAGGAGAACUCGAAGGCGAACUUGAGGAAAAAUGAUUUUUUGAAAAAGAAGAUAAUUCUGAGAGGAAUCUUGAGUACGACUCGGAUGGAUUGAGAUUCCAUCUUCUUUUGUGAACUUCAAUUGAUGUGAAUAGAGUUUAGAGUAAAAAGUUGUGAAGUGCUAUAGUUUGUGUUUUGUAUAAAAGUUUGGUUAUGAGUUUCAAUAUGAGAAAUAUGGCCCUGCUUUUCUAUCCCAUUGUUUUAUUGUCUGGGGAGUAUAACUACUUCCGCAUGUGCUUAAUAAUAGAAAGGGUCGGCGAUACAUAGUCCUGGGAUAUCGCAUUAUAAAAUCGACCAAGAGUAGAAGGAUGUGUGCGUGCCCGAGGAUCGGGGCGUGACAGAACCAAUUACAACCCGAUGUGCCUUUUUUAGAUGCUUUCUUAUCGGGUCAUGAAUUAAUGCUCUGAAACAUGAAGUAAAUGAGUCAGAAAAUUAAACAAGGCUAAUCUAAUGCAUGCUUUUUGGAAAUGGCUUGAAAAGUGAUCUUUUUUUUGUUCUUUUGGAUUUUUUAUUGGAUGAGGAAGCAUGAAGAAGCCUAGUCCUCAGAAUUCUCCUUGGAUGAUAUUUUCUUUUCAUUGUUGAAUAUCGUCACCAGGCUAGUUUGAUGUACCCCAUCAUGUCCUCAAAACAAAACUUGUAAUUUUAUUGAUAUUCAUCAAUCGAAUUACAUUUAUUGGAAUGUGAUGUUCAAGCACAGAAGAAAUCAAUCCCUAAAAAGCGAUAAAAAUUCUCAUGCAGGGGAAGGUGUAUGCCCCUAAUUAAAUGAGGAAAUAGAACUACUUAGGACCAUGAAUCAUGUGUACAUGAAUUCUUCACCCUUCUUGAUCUUGUGAUGCAAGCCCUUCAGGUUUGAUAUUCUUCCAUCUAGAUAUGUUGCUACCCUCUUCAUGAUGGCAUCAAAUUCGACUACCACAAGAAAAUGAGACAAUUCAAAAGGUCUUCUUGGCUCUCUUCUUGGAGUGGCAAUUUAUCACUGAAGAUAGAUUGCAGCAUUUUUGCUUGAUGAGAUAAGCUCUUUUUGAUCCGUCAUUUUGGCUCUUGAUCGUGAACGGAUGGGUGAGCGAGAUCAUUCCAUAAUCACCUAGUUCAAAUGAACGGGAACAUGUAAGAAUGAGGGUAAAUAGAAAGUCAAUCCAUGACAAUGAUCUAGUUGAGUUUUCAUUUUUUUUUUCAUUUAUUCAUGAAAAGUUCGUACAAGAAGGGCAUUUCCUAAAAAUAGACUAAGAAAAUAAAGAUAGACACCCCAACAAAACCAAAUUUCCUAGAGAUAAAUUGAAAACAAAUUCUCAAAAGUUUUUUUAUGGCAAAUGAUUCAUUGCAUGGCAAUUUCCUCAUUUCAUUUAUAAUUGACAAAUGAAUUAGAUCAAACGACUAACCUAGAUUGUCAUGGACAGACCAAAAGCACGACAAAAUAAAUUGCAUGGUAUAGGGAAAGAAGACUUACUUCACCAAGGAGAAUCAAUGGCAAUCACAUAGACAUGUGCAUGGUAAGUGGCUCAAUUUCUAAUCUAUAAGGCUUAUCAAGGUGGAGCCACAAGGAUGAUCGGACUAGCCACGAGUUUGUGGACUAUGUCAGGCCCUCAUGACUCUGGCUUGGUCAAAGAGCCGACCCGGGUCGCGGGCAUGCGAACCGAGGUGGGUACUCUUGACACCAUGAAAGAAACUUCGGGAUUGAGAUGGGCGACUCGUACCGCGAGCAUGCGGUCGGAGUGGUAUCCAUCUCAAUACCAUCCUAAAUGAUCCUAUGCGGCCCAGGUCCGACGGCAGGUUGUGUGUGCAAUAGUGUAGUGCUAGAUGCAAGGCAUGCACGGCAAUUUAUAUCAAGCAACACUUCAUUCAUGAAAAUAAACCAUACAUUCCUACACCUUCUUGCAAAACAAAGGUUAACAAACACUUCCCCUUAUACCUCCCAUCCUGCAAGAACAUUUAAAACCUUAAAUGUUAGGGGUGUACCUGGAAUCCUUGCUGCCAAACAAAACAUUUUUCAAAAGAAAAGAAAAAUUGGCCUAAGUCCACUAAGAGUUUCAACUCAAGUCCCCAGCGGAGUCACCAAGCUGUCGCGACCAAUUUUUCGGGUGAUGAACCACCUAGGGUUUGGCUAAUAGAUUGUUAAGCCUAGACUUAACUCGGGCUCUCCCAAGCCCAUACCAAUUCACGACUUUCGGUUCAAGUUCUUAACAUAUAAUUUUUUAAUUAGGAGUCGCCACUAAUCUAUUUUUGGUAGGUCGAUUAGAAACCCAAGUAAAGUAACGGGAGUUUUACUUUACUCCUACGAACCAGAGAUUUGGGUACGGGGACUUGGUUACACUAGAUUUCUCUAAUGCCCUUUCGGUACCAUUCUUUUAAUUUCAAAAAUGUUUUUGUAGGCAGUUUGGAUUAAUUUAAGUCUAUUUUCCUAACAUGUAAGGUGAUCAUGCGGGUACACAAACCACCAAUUUAACACCCAGAUAAACAAUAAAUAAAUUGCAAAAACUUACCUCAAAGCAACGAAAGCAUCUGCAGUGUUAAAUUAAAAUCCACAUCAACAACCCUAGAUAUGGUUUCUAAUUAACACGCAAUUUUUAUUUUGUUUUCGCUUAAUUAAUGAAAAUCAUGCAAUAUGUAAUGCAAUGUUAAUUGAAUGACCUAAUUCUAAUGACAUGUAAUUUUUAAUUAAAUGUGCCUAGCAAAAAUACUAAAUGGCAUGCAUCUCAAUGAAUCUAACCCUAAUGACGUGCAUAUGACAAUUUUUUCCUAAAAGAAUGCAUUUUAUCCUACAUAAUAAAACUAAUUUAACCUAUGACAUCUUUUUGUAUUUUUCAAGAAAUUCGAAAUUAGGUGAAAUGUGAAAAUUACCUAAUUAGAUUAAGAUCCUAUUUAAUUUAUAUUAGGAAUUAGGUUGAGCCACAUCCUAAUUUAAACUAAAAUAUUAUCUUAACCAAAAUAAUCCUAAAAUGCAAUAUAUCUAAAAAAGUACCUAAACUUAUAAUAAACUAAAAAAUUAUCUAAAUUAAACUAAGUGCAAUUUUUAUCCUAAUAUGCAAUGACGUGCAAAAUGUACCCUAACUCUACAUGAUAUAUGCAUGAUGAUUUUUUUGUGUUUUUGUUUUCUUUCUUUUUUUUUUUCUAAAUUUCGAUAUUAAUAAUUGCCAAAUAAUUAAACAUGCAAUCCAAGUUAAAAAAACUAGCAACCUAAAUUAAUUGAUUUGAUUCUUUUUUUUUAAUUCGAAAUAAAAUUCUUAUUGUGAGCAUGCAAACCCUAGAACUACAUUUUUUUUUUUUAUUUUUAAAGAAAACUAACCUAGGUAACACCACGGCAAAUCAAGCAAUAUUGGUACCCAAAUUGAUGAACCAUAUCUCGCGCAUGAGAUCGGGUUGGCCAAUUUCACAUAAAUCACGAAUCGGAUUUCGGGCGGGAGAUCGGAUUGGCAAUUUUUUUAAGUAAUUGUGAGUUGGAUUUCGGGCGCGAAAAUCGGACUAACAAUCACUAAUUUCAAGGCAAUUUCAUAUCAUGGAAUUUCAAUUUCACAUUAAAGGAAUAAUUACACUAAAAAGAUAAAAUAAAAUAGCAAAAAUAAUAAAACAAAAAUAAGAUAAAGAAAAUACCUAAAUUUUCUUUUGCUUUUCUAUUUUUUCUUUUCCUAUUUUUUCUAAAAAAGAAAAAGAAAAAUAAAGCUGGUGGCCGGUCCGGUGAGGGGAGAUCGCCGGCUAGGGUUCCGGCGAGGGCACCGAGAGCGGCGCGACGGCGGCACAGCAACAGGGGCUUCGGGGAUCGGCGCGGCGGCAUCGCGGCACCAGGGGCUUCGGGAUCAGCACGGGACGACGUCGACUCUGGGAGCGGGCGUCGCGGGUAGGGGACCCUAGGCACCGGCGGAGGUGAGGCGGAAGCGGCAAUGGGCUGGCGCGGCAAGAUCGGUGAACGGCGUCGCAGGCAGGGACGAGGAGACAGGGAUGGCGUCGGAUCUAGGCCGGUUGCUGUUCAGAUCUGCAGGCGGCGAGCGGCGUCGGGCUGCGGGCAUCGGGGCGGCGUGGCGGCUCUUCGGGACAGCGACGCGGCGGCACGCGAAAGGUUGGCUCGACGACGGCACGAUUCUAGGUUGCUGGUGGCUUAGCAGCCAGCGCAGGCAAGCGGGGACGACACGGGCAGACACCCCCCCGGCGAGGAAGAUGAACAGUCACGGGGGGGUUUUCUUUCUCUCUUUUUUUGGUUGUUCUCUCUCUUACCUCACUUUUUCACUGUUUUCUCUUUAAGAACCCCCCUCUCUCGUGCUUUUCUCUCUGAAAUUUUUUUCCUUUCAAUAUGGCCGAAUGUCUCAAUUGUGUGGCCUCCUUUGCUCCCCACCGUACGCAACUCCUUUUAUACACCGAAAAAUUGUAUCUCUGUGGUAUAUUUCAUUACCAACUUUGCUCGUGCAAAAUACCAUUGAAUAAAUCAUCCCACCAUGCGCAAUAUUUUUUGUGUUUUUUUCCAAUAUUUCAUUCGAGAAUUUCCUUUCCAUAAAAAAUACAUCACUCGGUGUAUAUUGCCUAAAUAUAUGAAAAUCCUAACGGAAUAUGUGAAAAAAUUUGCACUCGCCGUCUCCAAUAAAAUAAACUAAAAUGUUUCCUAAACUAUAUGCCAUGUAAUUUUAUUUUUUCAGGGAUAAAAUUAACCCCUAAUUUUUAAUACGAUAAAUGUCUAAAUGGGUCGCCAAAAUUUAGGUGUCAACAAAGCACAAUUAAUGUGGCACAAAGGGAGAGAAAUUCUAGAAUAUCGAUCAAAAUUACAAACAAAUUUAUGGAUAUACUAAAACCAAGAGAUUGACAACUUUUAUAACGUAAGGCUCUUUUCAUUCAUCAUUGUGAUUUGACUUUUAAUAUUCUCAUUGGGUCUUAUUUUAGAUUCCUCGCCUACCAUUAACCAUAUAAAAAAGAAACUGGACUAUAACAUUGGAGAUUGAAGAGAGAAAGCCCGGAAAAAAAGACAUAUAGAAAACAAAAUUGGUCUGCUAAGAAACUUAUGAAAUCACUCUUUUAAAGCUAUAAUGCUCUCAAAGUACAAUUUAACCUCUCAAACUCUUUGAACAUAAACACAAGGAAAAUAGAAUAACUUUACUAAGAAAAGGAGUAUGUUGUACAAGAAUAACGAACCAAUAUAUCUUGUGUAUAGACAAAAUCACUCGAUUGACAUUGUUUAACUUCCAACAUAUUAGAAAGUAUUUGUAAAUCCAAGCUUCUGUGAGAUGUGGUUGAGGUUUAUAAGAUGUGAUAUCUAUAAUCUGUGGAGCAUCGGUGAUGUUACCAUUGUUAUUUACAAAAGCCCAUGGAUGUCUAAAGAAUAGAAUAGUGUGGACUUUAGGGUUUGGUUGGAUGGUUCUCAAUUCUUGCUGUAAGAGCUGCUUCCAGUGAUUAGGAGGAUAAAACCAAUUAAGGAAGUCUAAGAGGUUUUUGUCAUUUUCCCUUUCAAUGUUUAAACCAAGUCCAAAUAUCCUGGUGAGGUUGGCAAUGAAUCUUUUGGUUGGAAUCUUAAUAAUUAUUAAGUACUUAUUGGUUAAAUAUCAUAAUAACUAUCGCAACUGAUCAAAGAAGUCUUCUUCCUUCCAAAGUAAAGGAUGUAUAAACGGAUAGUUCGAGUUUAACCCAAAAGGAUAAAUAAUUGAACCUUCAUGGAAUCUGAAUAGAUUUGUGUGGCAUUGUCACAUGAGGUUUUCCAUGUUUUCAGUUAGGCUAUCAUUCUAGACUUGUUCGACCAUCUCCCAGGGGUAUCGCCAGCUUGGCCAAUCUCGUAUUCUGCUAGUACUUUUGGUUUUGAUAAGAAGUCAUCAAGCAUGUUAUUCUUCCUAACAAUGUGUUUGGUUUCAAAAGAGUAUUUUGAAAACCAUUCGGCCCAUCGAAGCAGUUUAGAAUUUAAGAUCUGCUUCUAUUUAAACUUUGUCAUCUAAGGAAAAAAUGCAAUGUCUAAUUCUACUAGGAAGUGAUGGUCGAUAAGAUGAAAUUCAAACUUUUUUAUGCCAUUUUUUAUCGCCAAGAUUUCUUUGAAAGUUGAGUGAUAAUGCAUUUCAGCCUGGGAAAAUUUCCACUUUUGUAGGCACACAAAUGUCUCUUACCAUCAAUUUUUUCGAAUAGAAUGGCUGCCCAGUAUUCAUCACUGGCAUCAAUCUGGAGAAUUCUCUUUCCUGUUGAAGAGAUUUGCAAUGGGGAAAGAGUCUACAUAAUCUCCUUAAGUUCAGUGAUUGCUUUAAUAUGAGGUUUUCCCCAAGGUGGAGGAUUCUUCUUCAGCAUUGAUUGCAAUGGAAUAGCAGUUUGGCAAUAUUUGGAACAAAGUUUCUGAGAUAAUUAAUUAUCCCAAGAAAUUGCUGAACUUGUUUUGUCAUAAAGUUCUCUUUAAGAAAUUUUAACAAUUCUUGAGCAAUGUGUGGCCUUAGAUAGUAUGUUCCUUUGUUAAGGUGCAUACCAAGAAAUUUGAUUUAAGCCAAAAGAAGUUGGCAAUGAGAAAGCAUAAUCUCAUGUUUUUUUACGAUUUCUGCAAACUACCCAAGAAGUUGGCAGUGAGAUUCUUCAUCAGGGCUGUAGAGCAUAAUAUCAUCAAUAUAUACUACUGUGCUUGACAAGAUGGGUUGGAAAACUCGACACAUGGCUUUCUUAAAUAGGGAUGCUGCCACAUUUAAGCCAAAAGAAAGAAUUUUCCAUUGAAAAUGUUGGUUCGAGAUACAGAACCCUGUUUUGCGUCUGUCUUCAGUGGAUGCCCAAUUGCUAAAAUCCAACUUUGAGAUCAAAUUUGGAGUAGAUGUGGGCUUUGGAUAAUCUGGUAAAAAUGGAAUUUCUUGAAGGUAAAGGGAAUUUGUCAUCUUGAAAGAAGAGAUUAAGAGGUUGGUAGUUUAUUACAAGUCGUAUUUUUCCUCUAUUUUGCUCGGAACGCUUAUUGACAUAAAAGGCUUCAUAAGCCCAUUGAGAAUUGGAGAUUUUAAUAAGGCAUUGUCGUAACAAUUCUGAGCAUUCCCUUUGAGCAGCAACCAGAUGUUCUGGAUUCAUUCCCAUAUGACUCGCAUUGGUUGGAUUAAUGUCUUUAUUCUUUUUUAAGGGAAGACGAAUAAAGAAUUCCAGAUUUUUCCAUAAAUGAUGAGAACAUUUUUAGGAAAAUUCAUAAUGGGAUUAUGAACAAGAUUUUAACAGCUUCUAUAUUAUCGGAUCUAACAGAUUCAUUUGGAUGGAAAAAGGUCUUUGGCUAUUGACAAAUUCAGAGAAUUGGUUCUUAUACUUAAGACAUUUUCCAGGAAUGAUAUGAAGCUAAGAAAUCUGAGUUAUAAUGUCCCAACCAAUGAUUAAAUAUUUAUUGGGAAUACUGGAUCCGAAGAUUUUUGUAGUUAUGGAACACUGGGGAAAAAAUUGAACAAUUACUAGAGUAGUUCUUACAUACGUAGAAAAAGUAUCUCCUGAUGCAAAAUUAAAAUAUCGAACACAUGAAGUCCAAUAUUCUUCAUGAAGUACUUUAGUGUCUAAGAUUAAACAACUUGCAUUAGUGUCUAUGAGAGUAAUGACUGUGAUAGGCUUGGCAAAUUUUGAAGUGAAUUUUCACAGGAAAAUGAAGACAAUGGAUUUGGCUUGAAAAUAUGUUAGGGUUUUUUUCUGAUGAAGUGAGGAUAUGUGAAAAAGGUCUUCGGAAUCUAAAUCAGUUUCACUGGGAGUCUGGUAACAAGGAAUGACACAAAGUUUGUUCAGAUAGUUCUUCAUCCGCAGAGAAUAGAGAUUCGACAUCGUCAUUUUCAAGUGAAAUACCUAUCUUAUUCUCUAUGUGAUGUAUCAAAUGAUUCUGACAUUUUCUUCCCUGAGGGCAAUUUUUGGCAAAAUGGCCCUUUUGAUUGCAGAUGAAGCAUUGAGUUGAUUUCUUGUGGCUUGAAUGAUCCUUCCUUUUGCGUAAGAAUCGCCAUUUCUUCUUUUCCGGAAGUGCUUAGAGCCAUGUCUGGAUUUCUUUAUCUAGAAUUUUUUAAAGUGUUUCUUCUUUCUGGAAAACUUUCCACAAGAGCCAUCACAGUCUCUUUUGGAGCAUUUGAUCUUCAAAUCAUAGCGAGAGCAGGCUUUAUCUAGUUCUUUGUUGUCUGUGAGAUAAGUUUUGACCAUUUGGCACUUCAAACACAAAUCUUCUAGGCAUAGAUGGAUCUCUUGUUGUAUUUCUCCUAAAGAAAUAUCCAUAAUUCUUCUUUGUCUGCUAAGAAAAGAUUUCUCAACCUACUAGGAUAACUCUUUAGGGAUGGAAGUCAGGAAAAUUUGCUUUAGAUUUGGAUCAGCUUCAAUACCAUAUAAAAGUUUGAGCAUUUAUCAAUAAUGUUUAUCGAGAUGCUUUUUCUGAAGAGAGCAACAUUUUCUUUUAAAGAAUUCUCUCCUUGUGAGCUCAUGAAGGUCAGGAGGUUUUCCAAUAAAAAAAUGAUAUAAGAGGGAAAUGGCAUGGCUGAAAUCUGAUGAAAGUAAAAAUUGAACUUGCUUUUGUUCUGUCAUCGAUUGUCACCAAUGUUUGAGACUUCCUGUAAACCUUGUGACAAAACCAAAAAUGACAUCAUAUUUAUCCUGAUUGGUAAGAGCUUGGGCAUUUAACCAAGUAUAAAAUUUCUCAAAUCUUUCUGGCCAUUUGGAAUAGGUGUCGCGACCAAAUUUUUGGAUGUGUACCACCUAAGGUUUGGCUAAUGGAUUGUUAAGUCUAGACUUAACUCGGGCUCUCCCAAGCCCAUACCAAUUCUCGACUUAAGUUCAAAUUUCUUAACAUGCAAAUAGAUUUUAUUUAGGAGUCGCCACUAAAUAAUUUACAAUAGGUCGAUUAGACACCUAAGUAAAAUAAUGGGAAGAUUAUUUUACUCCUACGAACCAGAGAGUUUGGGUACGAGGACUUGAUUACAUUAGACUUUUCUAAUACCUUUUCGGUACCAUUUCUUUUAUUUUCAAAAAAAAAAAAUGUUUUACAAGCAGCUUGAAUUAAUUUUAAUUCACUUCCCUAACAUGUUAGGUGAUCAUGCGGGUGUGCAAAUCAUCAAUUUAACACCCAAAUAAAACAGUGAAUAAAUUGCAAGAUUUACCUCAUGGCAUCGAAAGCAUCUACAGUGUUAGAUCAGAAUUUACAUCAACAGUCCUAGAUAUGAUUUCUAAUUAACACGCCAUCACUCUAUUUUUGUUUUCACUUUUUUAACGAGAAUAUAAUCCAUAUGUAAUGUAAUGCAUCUAAUCUAAUAUGAAAUGAUAUGGCAUGGCAACAUGACUUAGCUAUAUGACCUAAGUGAUAUGACAUAAAUAAGCAUGUAGUCUAUCCUGAAGCAUGAGAUGGAUUUAUUCUAAAAAAUAUUUUUUUGUAGUUUCCAUGAGAUUUGAAAUUAAAGAAAUGCAACACUUAAAUAUGCAAUCUAAAUUAAUCGAAUGACCUAAUUUCAAUGACGUGCAAUUUCUAAUUAAAUGAACCUAACAAAAAUCACUAAAUGACAUGCAUUGUAUGAACCUAAUUCUAUAUGAUAUGCACAUGAUUUUUAUUUUCCUAAUAAGCAUGCAAUAUAUCAUAAUAUGGAAUGACGUGCAAAGAAUGCCCGAAUUCUAAUUUUUAUAUGAAAUUUGAAAUUAAAAUUGCCAAAUAAUUAAACGUGUAAUUCAAAUUUAAAACUAACAUCCUAAAUGAAUGCAUUUUUUUGGAUUUUUAUUUUUAAAAAUUCGAAAUAAAAUCUCUAUCCUAAAUAUGCAAGAUAACCCUAAAACAAGAAAUAUUCUAAAAUGCAUCUAAUCUAACUCAAAUAUAUUUUUUUGGUUUUUCCUUUUCGGAAGCAAUCAAAUAAAGGCAUUAAGAAUAGCACAGCAACAAAUCAAGCAAUAUAUCAUCUAUGUCCAUUUAAUUUUGGGAAUAAAUUGACGAAUCAUAUCUUGCGCAUGAGAUCGGAUUGACCAAUUUUUAAAUAAAAUCACGAAUCGUAUAUCGAGCGUGAGAUCGGAUUGGUGAUUUUUCCGUGCGAUUGCGAGUCAUAUUUCAAGCGUGAAAUCGGACUGUCAAUCGUAUGCAUGUUGUGAAAUUAGAAAGAUUUCCCAAUUCAUGAGGGAUCAAGAGAUCUCUUGGAUACGACAAUACCGAUCAAACAUUCAAAGGAAGAUUGCUAUAUCACGAAUUAGGUAGACAUAUAUGAAAAUCAAAUUAAUUGAGAGUCUUACCUAAUUCACGAUAUCACGCAGGUGACGUUUCCAAAUUCGAACGGAUGAUGGGUCAUGAGAAUCACGAUGAGGAAGAUCGAUGAUCCGUAGCAUGCACGGUCGCUCGGUAAUCGUCGGACGCAUUCCACAAGACGGAGUACUUUGGAAUUCUAUCCGAGAACUUCAGCUUCUUUUCACUUUGCUAUCAAGCUUCGCCUUUUAAAAAAAGCUUGAGCAAAACAGGACAAAUUUCACCGCUUCUUUUGCAUUGGAAACGCCCUCUUGUGCCCAUUGAAGAACCUGGUGUUAGUUGAGUUGUUCAGAGAAUCAUCAAAGCAGUUGCGGCAGGUUCAAGACUUGCUAAUAGAUGACUCGAUUAAUUGCCUCUAGAUGGACGUCGGGGCGGCCGUGGGAGAUGACCGAUGCUCACGGUGACGCCUGCAAACACGAAUACUGUGAAUUCAAGGAACGGCGACGCUUGGCUUGUGGUAAAACUCGCUGGCUGCCGGGGCGGUGACUGGAUUCAGUCAAGGAAGACCUGCAAUAAUAAAAAUUCAAACGAGAGUAAAAUAACUGGAUCGGUAGAGGUCUCGGGCACGUCAAGGACGCCUGGAAAAUUUUCUCUCAUUCCAUGUUGAUCUCCAAGCAUCGCCAAGUGGAGCUUUGUUAAAGCCGCCAAAAUCUAAACGUCGUGAGUUUUUUACCAUCGUUAUCGGAGGCUCCUUGGCGUGUGAUCAUCGUCGAAGGUUGCACCUCGGCUGGAUAGCAAAUCGUCAUGGGUUCUCGGUGGUGAAGGCUUCUCGACAAGGAAGCGUUGAUUAUUAUUUUCUGAAAUUUGUACAGCGCCACGAACCAAACUCUUCACGUUAUCCUUGCCCAAAAAUAUCCUUUGCUUGCAUGAAAUAAACUCACAAAAAUCUCACUUCUGGACAACACCCAGAAGAAGACAAAUCCACCACUUGGGCUUAUUUCACCAAAAUCUUGCUACUUGUUUUGCCUAUGGACUUCGGGGCAACGAGAGAUGCAGCUCGGACUUCAGGCUCGCGAGCGGUGGCCACAAAAAUCUGGCGUGACUUUCACGUAUGUGGAGAGAUAUUGGCCUUGCUGGACAUCGGCGAAUCCAUCGGGCAUAGAUGGAACUCCACAGGAGUCUCGCUGGCUCUAAAAUAUGAUGAAAGUGACUCAGACGAUCCUGAGUUGUGUUGGUGAGGAGCUUGCCGGGACCGCUGGACACUCCUGGGAGCUUGACCUGAGGUGCGUUGCUGGUGGUAGGACUCUUGAUGGAUCAGCAAUAGCGACGUGAGGGUAGGCGUAGUGGUGAGGCUACGUGAGGAUUGCAGAGAUAACAAGGUCACAGCUGCGAAAGGGACUUGGCCGUGACUUCUCUUCUUUCUCUUUUUUCUCAGUGUGUGCGAAGCCCCCCUACAUACGGCCAUGUGUAUUGAUAUGUGUGGCUUCCUUUGAAACCCUACGUGAAAAACCUUUUUAUAGGCUGAGGAUUAGAGUUUUAAUUUCCUUUUCAAAUCAACAUCCGCGAAAAUUUCUUUUUCACAUGUAAUAUCACUUUUUUUUAUUUUCCAUAUCUCAUAAUUUUAUCUCCUAAAGAUAAGAUUGCAACCUGAUUUUCUUAAAUUCCAAAAAUCCACCGUAAUAUCAUUUCAAAUCUCAAGUUAGGUAAUUUUUGUCAUUAAAAGAAAAUGGGCUUGGGCCAAUUUACUUGCUUUGUGGGCUUAGUCCGAUCUGCCAAAUUAAAGCUUAGAACCACUAAUCCGAAUCCAUCCACCACCGAUCCAAUAAAAUGCAAAAAUGUAAAUUAAAAAUAAAUGCACCUAAAUCUAUAUGCAAUUAAUAUUUUUUCAGGGAUAAAAUUGACCCCUAAUUUUCUAUGCAAUAAAUAAAUGAUCGGAUCGCCAAAAUUUAGGUGUCAACAAUAGGAAAUAUUGUCAACAUUGAAAAACUAUUUGGAGGAAGUGGUCAUAUUUAGAGAAGGAUUGUUUGCUUGAACCACAUCUGGUUCAGAAGGGUUGGAUUCCAUAUCCUGAUCUGGAGGGUUAGCCAUGAAUAUUGAUGACGUUACCAGCAUAAUAGGGAAGGAGUCAAGGUCAGGGAUUGAGAAGGAUGAAGAGGUUGAAGGAGAUAGCGAAUUUGACUCAGUGUCAAAAUUGUUCGAAAAAAUCGAUUCUAUUAGAAUUUGGUCUUUUGAAGGUGAUAGGAUUCUUCCCGAUUGCUAAGAUCUUUCAAAAAUGAUUCUAACGGAUUUGAUAGCAUCAUUUGGCUUGGCUUUUCCUUUAUAACAAGCGGGGAUUCUUCAAGCAUCUUCUAUUUUCCCUUUUCUUUCCUUAUUCGAUCCAGUUCUUUGAGGCGAUUUCGCAUAUCUACCACAUCUGUCUUAUCUUAUCUAAUAGGAACGUCUGUGAGGGCAGCAAAGAUAGAAGUAUUCUGAGGUUGUGGAAGCGAAUGCUCUAUCCGCACCAUAGUUGAAAAUGGUUUGAAAGGAUUUGACCUUCCUUCUUCAAGGAGUUGGAUCUGUCUUUUGAGCUUUUCUAUUUCCGCCUUGGGACUUUCAAUAUGAUGAUAUCUCAAAUGUUGUCUAGAUUCCAAGGCAUGAAGCCUCUUUUGGAAGUCCGAAAGCAUCUUCUUGGUGGUUUCAUCAUAUCUUCGAAGAUCUUGUUGCACGUUCAUAAUUUUGGAGUCAAGUGCAUUGAAUGCAUUGUUGUGUGCUAAAAGAGUCACCGAUUGCUAAUUCAGGACAGCUUCAACAACAGGAGUUCUUUUCUGUCUUCCAUGUUCAUUCACAUCAGUGGGGGCAAGUAUUUUAAGAACAUGCCAAUAUCUGCCUUGUGGAUGAAUGAAUUCUUCUGGAGCAGGGAAUGAAAGUUGCAAGUUUUCACGUAUAAGAGGAGGAAUCUCUGCCUCUCGAAACAUAGCAAUGGAAGAGCUAGGCGGUGUUGCUUGUGGAAUUUUGAGUGAGUAGGAAUGUUUUUUUGCCCACUUUAAGAUUGGCUUAUAGAACGGGAUAAUGGAUGAUUUCUUUUGAGGAGGAGGUGAUGGUGGUGACAGUGGUGGAUCCGGUGAAACAAAGGGUGGAGCAGUGAACUCUAGUGGUGGAGUUGAAGCAUAAGAAACCAUAAAUUGAAAUUUAUCACACUCACCAAGAGUGUCAAUGGAGGAGUCUCCGUUUAAGUACCUUUGAUACAUGAUAUCUUUUGACUUUCUAUGCUUCCGUCGGGGUUUUGCAUAUGGGUCUACUUCGUCAGGAGAAUUUGUACAAUAGGAAUAUUGACAUAAAGGAUCCCAGAAGCAGUGACCAUAUUUGUCUUUGUAGUAAUGGACAGGGUCUCCAUUACUCUGGAAAUAUUGAACAAGCUUUUUGGGGUCUGGCUCAAUAAUUGACUCAGAAACGCAUGGUUCAAUUAUGCAGAGGGUCUAGAAGAUAGAAGGACUUUCUUCCAUUUCCUUGCCAAACUUGAUGGAAAUAGUGCCAUCUUUCUUUCUGACAAAUUCGGAAUCUAAAGAAUGGAAAGGCUUGUUGUUCUGAUUUAGCUUUUCACUUGAAAAUGACGAUGUUGAAUCUCUAUUCUCUGUAGAUGAAGAACCAUCUGAACAAACUCUUUCACAUAUCCCUCACUUCAUCAGAACAAAACCCUGACAUAUUUUCAAGCCAAAUCCAUUGUCCCCAUUUUCCUAUGAAAAUCUUCACUUCAAAGUUUGUCAAAUCUAUCACUGUUAUUGCUCUCAUAGACACUGGUGCAAGUUGUUCAAUCUUAGAUACUAAAGUACUUCUUGAAUGGAAAAAAGCCUUUCUGGGUUCAUCACAUUGCUCAUUUUUCAACACUUACAUGGCACUCUUAUAUUUCAAAUAAGUAGUCCCCUUCCGUUUUCCCCCGGACUCUAUUUUCCUCGUUCCCGCUACUAACUCUCCAACAACCCAUACGGGUGUCACCUCUUACCGGCAAAAAAAAAAAAAAGCACAUGAACAUCGGUUUCCACCAUAAUUGAUCAUAUUAUUUUACGUAUUUUUAUUAAUAACCAAAAUAUACGAACAAGUGCAAUACAAGAGAGAAUUAUAGUUUGUUGAACAAGGAGGUAUAAUUAUUCAUCAGACUCUACGUAAUUGACUCUAUGAUGUACAAACCAUGUUCCCUAUUAUCACGGACAUAAGGUAUAUCUAAUGGACUAGCUAUCUUAUUUCUUCGAUCCUCCUUAGCUUUAACUUGUACAAUGUAACCCAAAGUUCCCAUGAGUACAAACACACCAAUAGCAUUCUCAUUUACUAGUGCGCCACUUCCCCAUUUUCCUGGUCAAGAAACGGAUAAUCUAUGUAACCAACAACUGGUCUUGAGUAUAAAAUGUCUCUCUGUUGUAACCAUUCAAUGGUGCAUCCACCUUGAAUCGGUAGACCAAAUCAGGGUUAGAGAUGAAGAGCCGACCAAACGAUAUCAAGUCCGUGUCACCUCCAGCCAAAGCCUUCAUCCCGAGCUCUCGGGUGAAACCGCCGGUUAACAUGAAAGUACCUUGAUAAGCUCUCCUCCAAGUUCUCGUCAAUCGAGCUUCUCCAUCCUCCUCUUGUUCGCCAUAAUUUUUCGUGCCAUUGGCUGUGAAUUGAGGUUGAGGCACGUGGAGAUAUGCGAGUUUGGAACCUAUCUCAUUUUGGAACUUGUUCAAUCGCUCGAUGACUGCUAGGCCUAGACUGAGUGGAUCGGGGUCCAUGGCAUCAUUGUGUCAACUACUAGUGAGAUUUUAACUCCCAUUCGAUCAGUGCCAACUUCUUCAGCCACCACUUUGAUGAUCUCCAUCAAAAAUCUGCAUCCAUUCUCAGUUGAUCCUCCAAAUUCAUCUACUCUAUCAUUGAUUGAAUGCUUUAAGAAUUGAUCAAUGAGAUAGCCAUGUGCUCCAUGCACCUCAAAACCAUCAAAACCUAAAGUUGAAAUCGAUUUGAUUAUUAAUACUUAUGUGCAACAAACGAAGAAAAUAAAACUAAUUUAAGCAUCCAUCACGAUAUGACUAUAGUUCAUGGACUAACUUGCUUGAAUGGCAUUUGCAGCUGCUUGGCGAUAUUGCUCGAUAACUUGCCAUACUUCAUGUGUUUGGAGAGCUCUUGGUUUGUGAGGAACAUCAAGAGUCCCGUCGGGCAUGAUGAUUUUCCAUUUAUCGGAGAUAGAUUGAUUUGUCGACGAAAUCGGAGCGCCUCCAUCGGGUUCAUAAACUAAUACGAUCACUAUUAAAUAAUACAAUUUGUUGUUAGAAACAAGUAUAGAAGGUGAAAUUUAAUAAGUUAACAUUGCCAAAGUAGGAAAAAAGUAUAACAGUAAAAACAAAUUGUCAAAGUCAAACAGUGCAGGUCGUGAUUAUGUGAUAUAUGGGGGAGCUACAGAGAUAUUUUGUGGCGUCGGUUUGAGAAAACGAAUUUAGUACCACGGUUGGAGGCACGACCAACGUGCCAAAGUUGACAGAAGAUGAUGCCGCCCUUGGAAUGAACAGCAUCCACCACCUUCUUCCAUGCUUUGACUUGCUCUUUAGUGUAAAUCCCAGGAGUACCUGGAAACCUGGUUUAACAACAUUUUAUUUCUCAAAGUUAAAGAUCCUCCUAUGAUCCAAAGCGAAGUUCAUAUUACUUGCUGUCAAGCAAUGAAUAGGGUAUAAAUAGCUUGCGGUGCUCAGGUGUACAUCGGUAUGUAGACAAUUUCUGUUCCUUUCUGCGUGAUAUAUAGAAGACAGCUUGAUCUCAGGACAAAAGGACGUACCAAGCAGCCGUGUCAGAGAUGAGGGUGCCUUCAGUGAUGAUAAAACCACCCUUGGUCGUUCUUUGCGCAUAGUACUCUGCAUGCACCGGCAAUGGAAUCCCAUCGAUCGCUCUACAUCUCGUCAAAGGCGCUAGCACUACUCUAUGAGAGAUAUCAAACUUGCCCAUCCGGCAUGGAGUAAAGAGGUUCGCGGCCAUUUCGUGUGUAGCUUGUAUUCUGUCAAGAACGAACAGCAAGGAUUGAUACUAAGAAUAUGAUGGUGAAGAUUUGAAGACGGUGCGAUGUGAAGUUGGUCGAUAUUGCUCAUCGGUUUUUAUAGUUUGGUGUUGCCAUUUGAACAUAGCAGUAAGAACCGGGAAGAUUCACCGUAAUUCAGUUUUGUUGGGAAUGACUGAUCCCCGAAAAUCAUGAUUCGACACUAAAUCGAACCCCUAAAUCAAUGCGGAAGCGAAGCCCAAGAAAACGACACAUAUCACCGAUCGUAAAGCACACCACGGAUUCGAGCGUACCUUGAUUGCCACAGAUUAGACACCGACGCCGUCAGAGGAAGAGAAAUUGAGCCUUGUUCGAUCCGAGGAGGCAAACUCCUUCAAUUGCUUCACUGUUUCGCUUUUGGAGAAAACGGGAGAGAGGGAGAGAGCGUUGAGAGAAAAACAGCGUACGUACAAUUAACCAACGGUAGUUUUUCUCUAUGAUGGUGAAGAUUUGAAGAUGGUGCGAUGUGAAGUUGGUCGAUAUUGCUCAUCGGUUUUUAUAGUUUGGUGUUGCCAUUUGAACAUAGCAGCAAGAACCGGGAAGAUUCACCGUAAUUCAGUUUGAACAUGGCGAGGUUUGAUUUUGAUAUGACUAAGUCGUCGCAUGUUGGGAAGGUCGAAUUGCAAUUUACUUUCUUUAACCUCACUUUUCUCCUUGCAAAAUUGUUUUAAAGACGUUGACGUAUAGAACAUGUGGUUCUAACGUUUCUUUAUUUUCUUUAUUGCCCAACGGGGUUCUUACGUUCACCGUUCAACAUUUCAUCGCCUGCUGCGCUGCUACGAAGUCGGUGGGGGGUUCGUUCCUAUUCAUAUAGACCUGUCCGGAGAAUCUAAUAUUUAUAAAUAAUAAUAUGUUGCGUUAUAUUAUUUAUAAUAGUGAUAAUGACAUUUUUCUAUUGGCUUUUCUUGGGUGACUAGAACUAUUUUGAGUUCGACUUCGUAUUAUUAGAAUUUCCCUGCCAUGUGCUUUUUUGAUUAUGCACGAGAAGAACAAAAGAUUUGGACGGCAUUUAGAUUUCAAUUUCGACUACACCAUCGACAUCUCAUGUAGGAAAUUUCAAGGGGAAGAAUAGAAAUAGUCUCGACAUGCAACUUUGUCUCAGCUUGAGUCGGGCCUCCUGGAGCCAUGAGAACCACAAAUGUAGCGAGGAGAGGUCCGGAGAUAGUCGGAAUAAACCCAUGCCUUCAUCUAUUGACUAUUCUUUUCUUUUUUUUCUUUUUCCCACAAAGAUAUAAAUGCUUGAUAGCGAUGAUGAAACGAACAUGGUUUCAUUAGUCAAGACUAAAGAAGUCGUAGAUUACCGUGACUCUUAUUCAAUAGCUUUCUGUUUGGACCAAUUAGUCAUAAGCAUGUCGAACUUGUAUGCUCAUAUAGCACACUUUAAUAUAUCGUGUUGUGUCUUGUUGAGGAUUGCAAAAAUAUGAAAAUAUAUUAUUGAUGGAUAAUUGAAUAGGGAGAGAGAGAAAGCAACUGAUGGUACUCGUGAGAGAGAUUGAACUUGCCCGUUUACAUGGAAUGAUGAGGUUCAAAGCCAAUGAGCGUAGUGUCACGGGCCGAAAGAAGGACGACCCGAGAGGUUCCCCGGAGUCGACCAUGACUCGUCCAUGAUAGACCUCCUAUGCUCGCUCGGAUUCCCAACGAGCGUUCUCCUCGAAGUUUCUAGAAGACUCUAGCUUCAUUUAUGUCGGUAGCUAGUAGUUGGCAUUUAUGUCUAGUAGUUGAAUACUUAUGUCGGUAGUUGAGGCGAUGCGAUCUCGUCCGCUGAUAGAAUUCUAGAUCAAUGGAUGUAAUCCGAGGUCCUCAACUAUAAAAAGGGGUGUCCUCCUUCAUUUGUAAGCAUCCACUACUUCCGCAAUACAAAGCAAAAUUUCUUUCCAAAGCUCUUCUCUCUAGAUUCUUUCUCUCUCUACAAUCUGGAUAAGCGAGCGAGUUAGUGUUCGAUCGAGCAAGGCUUGGCUUAGGUGCUUUGGUGAUCCAAUCCAAUCCUAAAGCGCCCGAGUUGCCGCACAAUCAUGAUCCCAAUCGAUCGGCCCAUGACAAGUGGUAUCAGAGCUAAAGAGAGAUCCGUUUCCAAGAGAUUGAAGAGCGCCAACUGUUCGAGAGAAUGUCAAGCCAAGAAGCGGCUAUAGUUGGAGAGGUUGUGCCAGUCAAGGACACGCGCGGCAAAGCAAAGAAGAGAGAUGCCUCAGUGGAUGCUACGGCUAUGUUCGAUGAGAAGCUUGGGAAGGUUCGAAGUGUCGUGCUCAAACUCAUGGAAGAUCUUGACGAUGUGCGAGACCGGAUCAUGGAGGUUGAAGGCUCGCUCCAUGAAGACUUCACGACCAGCAUCAACCAAGCUACAGCUCCAUUGUCCGACAAGGAUGAAGCUCUCGAAUCAUCGAUCGAUGGUUUGAACGAGCGUGUCCAAGUGAUCAAGGAGGUAAGCCCGUGUAGGGAAGAGGUCGAAGCCAUGAAGGCAGAGAUCCAAGAGCUCAAGAACGAGCUCGCCCUAUGCAAACUAAGCAUCAUGAAUGGUGCGGUGCCUACUCAAGUGGUGCCCAAAAUUGAGGUGUCGAAGCCAAAGGAGUUCAAAGGCAACCGAUCCGCCCAAGAGGUGGACAACUUUGUAUGGAGCUUGGAGCAGUACUUUGGUGCCGUCAACAUCCGAGACGAGUCGAUCAAGGUUAGAACAUCUUCCAUGUUCCUUACUAAUACGACGAUGCUGUGGUGGCACAAUAGGUGCGACGAGAUUCGACGUGGCACCAAUCCCAUGAGCACGUGGGGCGACUUCGUGAGGGAGUUCCACGACUACUUUUUCCCCGAGUUCGCUCAACAAGAAGCUCGUAGCAUGCUCCAUUGCCUCGAGCAAAGAGGCGCAAUCAGAGAGUAUGUGAAGGAGUUCACGGAGCUCAAACUCCAAAUUCGCAACCUAAGCAAAGAGGAGGCUUUCGGAGUGUCCAUGGAUGGAUUAAAGCCAUGGGCACAACUUGAGCUGAAGCGGUGGGACGUGAAUAGCCUUGCGAGAGCACUAAGUAUGGCCGAGUCUCUCGUUGAUCUCACCAAGGUUGAGCCGAUGAACAACCGAGCAAGAGAUUGGAGGUCGGAUUGACCCAUAGACGAAGGAAAAAAUGCUCCCCAAAGCGCGCACUCGAUCGAAGUGGCCAAAUCAAGACGUGGGGAGAAGGGUCUUCCAAGCCGUCCUUCCAAAGGGGUCAACCGCAACGAACUGCGCGAGUAAGUUCGAUCAACCUCCGUCCUUUCCUUGCUUUAUUUGCAAAGGUCCGCACUAGACCCAAAAGUGCCCGAAGAGGGGUCGCAUCAACGCCCUCCUAGCCAUCGACGAGGUGGAGGAGGAGCCCAAAGAAGAAAGGCGGCAAAUCCGACUUGGAGGCGUGAAGACGAUCAACUCCGUCCAAGCUCGAUCACCAUCCAAAGAAAAAGCUGCGUCGAACUCAGAAAUGUUCUUCGUGAAGGUCGACGUGUGUGACCAAACACUCUUCACCUUGGUCGACACGAGAGCAUCGAACAUGUUCAUGUUGACCGAGGUAGUGAAGGCCUUAAAGCUUCGCGUGGAACCAACUGGAAAUACCUUCAAGCCGAUCAACUUGGAGGGUGUCCAUGGCGUAGGAGCAACUUCGGACGUGGACGUCAAGAUUGGCAGAUGGAAGGGUAAAAUGGAUUUCGAGGUAAUUUCUCUUAACGAUUAUCAUCUCAUCCUUGGUAUUCAAUUCUUCGAUAGCGUGAGAGCCAUGAUCAACAUGAGGAACAAGUGCAUUGUGAUCCUCGACCCUAAACACCCAACGACGAUCCCCAUGAUCAAAGGGGUGGUCGACACCAAGACCAUCGCCACGAUCCGACACCUCGACAAGAACUUGAAGUCCGUAAAGCGACUAAACAAGCUGGUCGAGGUGAAGCCGAAGAUAGAGUUGGAUCCUACUCCAACGCACGCCAUGCCCAUUCAAGUGCUCUUCCUCAAGGUUGAGUGCAUGCCGCAUGCUCCAUCCAAGCCGAAGAUGGAGCCGCGUGAUAAGUCCGAGUUCAUCAUUGAAGGGUGUGGUCCUUCAUUCGUGAGCGUCCAUACCAAGCAAAACAGAAACAAUAAGGUGCGUGCCAAAGCCCAUGCUCGUGCCAAGAAGGCCGACCACCAAGUUGUGAGCGACGAGGACGUCGCUCGAUUGAGUGGGGAAGAAUGUCACAGGCCAAAAGAAGGACGACCCGAGAGGUUUCCCGGAGUCGACCGUGACUCGUCCGUGGUAGACCUCCUGUGCUCACUCAAAUUCCCAACGAGCCUUCUCCCCGAAGUUUCAAGAAGACUCUAGCUUUGUUUAUGUCGGUAGCUACUAGUUGGCAUACUUAUGUCGGUAGUUAAGGUAGUGCAAUCUCGUCCGCCGAUAGAAUUCUAAAUCAAUGGAUGUAAUCCGAGGCCCUCAAAUAUAAAAAGGGGUGUCCUCCUUCAUUUGUAAGCAUCCACUACUUCCGCGAUACAAAGCAAAACUUAUUUCCAAAGCUCUUCUCUCUAGAUUCUUUCUCUCUCUACGAUCCGGAUAAGCGAGCGAGUGAGCGUUCGAUCGAGCAAGGCUUGGCUUAGGUGCUUCGGCAAUCCAAUCCGAUCCUAAAGCGCCCAAGUCACCGCACGGUCACGAUCCCAAUCGAUCGGCCUUUGAUAGUAGCCUAUAUCCAACUAAGAAUGAACAAACCAAGAAGAUGUAGGCAAAGUUGGUAAAAGAGAGGUCACAUCUGGCAAAAUUCCUCCUGAACAGACCAAGAUAUCAUUGCCAUCUGGUAUUUUUCUAAUGCGCCAUCUAUAUGUAAUCUAACAUACUUAAUUCAAGUAACGACUGGAUUAAGAUUUUUUCACAAAAUCUAUUUGAGCUAGAAGUAAAAGGCCAAGCCGAACGGCAAGGGGGAGAAAAAAUCUCGGUAAAAGCACAAUUAAUGUGGCACAAAGGGAGAGAAAUUCUAGAAAUAUCAAUCAAAAUCACAAACAAAUUUCAUACUAAAACUAAGAGAUUGACGACUUUUAUAACAUAAGGCUCUUUUCAUUCAUCAUAGUGAUUUGAAAUAUUCUCAUUGGGUCUUAUUUUAGAUUCCUCACCUACCAUUAACCAUAUAAAAAAGAAGCUGGACUAUAACAUUAGAGAUUGAAGAUAGAAAACCCGGGGAAAAAAAAGACAGAGAAAACAAAAUGGUUCUGCUAAGAAACCUAUGAAAUCACUCUUUUAAAGUUAUAAUUUUUCCCAGGAUACAAUUUAACUUCUCAAACUCUUUGAACAUAAACACAAGAAAAAUGGAAUAACUUUACUAAGAAAAGGAGUAUGCUUGUAUAAGAAUAAUGAACCAAUAUAUCUUCUGUACAGACACAAUCACUUGAUUGACAUUGUUUAACUGCCAACAUACAUUUUUGUCUAAAAUGUUAAUAUUAAUUAAAAUAACAUUCAAAAUUGCUUAACCACAACUUCUCAAGUCCAAUCAAGAUUAAAUAUAAUCAGGCGUAUUCAAUGGAAAAUGUCCACUUGAGUGCCCAUGCCUUUAAAAAACAAAAACAUGGUUGCUCUCAUAUACAAACAAAAUAGUUUCCUUCUUUUUUUCCUACGUGGGACUCUUUUUUAUUUCCACACUCACAUUACAAACUCUCGAACAACACCGCUCAUGAACCACUGGGGUUUGCCCCAAUGGCCAUCCUUCCAACAUGGAAGGGAGAUGUGAGGAGUUCGAAUCCACCCUUCUAACAUGGAAGGGGGUGGGGGAUUCGAAUCCCUACCUUCUCAAGAAAGUUGGGGUGGGGACGAUAUAGUUUCAGGAGUGGAUUUCAAUUCCCAUGCCCUACAAGAAGAUAAGUCAAAAGUCUGAGAGUGAGCGUUAGAGUAAGAAUAGAAUAGGACCAACCAAAAAAAGAAAAAAAAAAAAAACAACAACACCGCUUACAGCUUCUCUAGCGGCCAAUAAGAAAUAAAUAAACAGCAGAAUCGACGUAAUACAUUACGUGCAUGCCAGGAGGCUAGGAGAGUCGAAUCGCAAUUUGGUCUUCUUUGACCUUCUUUCUCUGCAAGAAAAAAUCGUGUUUAAGAAUGUCGUACCGACGGUGUACGUGGAUGGAAAAUCGGCGAUAUUCAUGCCAAGGUCUCUUCCCCGGUGUGGUUCUUACAUUGACCAUUUGACAUUUCAUCACCUGCUGAGAAAAUAAUAAUAAUAAUAAUCAUAUGGUUCCCUUAAUUUAUAAUAAUGAUAAUUACAAUGAAAUUUUUCUCUUUGCUUCUCGAUUGAGAAAAAUCUAAUUGACUUCUACCGUGCACAAUUAUAAUUCAUAUGCGAGAUGAUCGCUUGAUGAUGUGUGAGAACAAGAGGUAUGGACGCAACUUUGAUUUCGAUUUGGACUAUCCCAUAGACAUCUCGUGUAGAAAAUUUUCAAGGGGGAUCAUUGCACAAAAAUAUCAUUUUUUAUUGCUCUAUGUACAAUCAACAUAUUGAAAAAAUGAAAAUCUUUUUUCAUUAGGUAUGAUUAAUAAUCGCACUAAGAAUCUUUUUAAGAUAGGAACACUAAAAUAAGUGAUUACUCUAUAUAUACGUAUAAAAAAAUUUCUAAUUUGAGCAUGUAAUGAAUGUAGAGGUAAUAAUAAUACAUUCAUUGGAGGGAAUAAAGAGUAUUUAUAUAAAUUCUGGAAUGAACUAAAUAAUCGACAAUGUGCAUUAUUCGAAUUCCAUCUCUAUGAUCUUGGGAAAAAAUAUUUAAGUGAAUUUUUCUUUUUUAUUGCUUAUCUCUUGAAUUGCCGCGCUUCAUGCAAAUUGUCGUGCUCCAUGCACAUGCACUUUCGUUCAUAUUGCGAGCGUGUUUCUUGUAUUUGCGACCAAGGAUUCUCAUUAUUUCCAUUCCCGUUGUGUCAUAUACCUUCUUAUAUUGUGAAUUAAACUUAGUAUGAACGAUUUUUUUAUACAGAGUAGUCUUAAAUGGAAAUAUCAAAUCGGUUGUGAAAGUAAUAUACUUGCCAAAAAUUAAAAAAUUCACUAACCCUGCCUCAUGUAGUGGGCUUACUUCUUCAAACUGCCAGCGUGCAGAAGGCCCAAUAUGCAGGUCUCCAAGGCCCAAGCCCAACGUAGAAAAGCCCAGCUUCGUCCUCUGCGAUCGCGUCGUCUUCCGCAUUGCAGCCGGUGGGAACCCCAACCGCCAUUAUCAUCUCGCGCAGAAACCAGAGAAGAAAAUACAAAUUUGAGAAGCCCUCCUUUGAUUGGCGCGAUGAGUUCCCUUUCAUCACUGGGCUGAUAACUAAUUUCAGGAACUUUUCUAAUAUAUCGAGCAAUUGAAUCUUUCAGCAAAUUCUUCACUCAAACUCUAAACUGAACAAUUAGCAGCCGAAUCUAAUGGAUUCGAAACCCGUUAGCGAUAAUGCUGCCGCCCCAAGGAAGGUUGGUUCAUGCUGGCUACUGCCUCUUGGGUUUUUUUAUUUUAUUAUUUAUUUAUUUAAUAUUUGUUAUUUCUGCUAAAUGAAGAAUUGCAUUGGCUGUCUGUGGAUGGUCUUCUUGGCCGUUGUUUUUUGUUUCUUGGGUAAUGGAUGUUUUGUGCUGUAGCGUUGCAGGUGAGAUUUGUGCAUAAGGCUCUAAACGAGAUAUGAUAUGAUUCUGGUUUCGGAAUAUCUCCCGUAAUGAAACUUAUUUUGUUUUUUUCGUACAAAACAAUGGUCAUAGCUCGUGAUCAGCUAUUAUAAUUAUCACCCGUCAAAACCAUGCUAACUAAAUUCGAACCAAGGCUAUCCAAGGCAUGGAGGAAGUACGAACUAUUGUUCCGUUCAUGAGCUGGUGUGUGGCUAGAGGCUUCCUCAGCCCGGGAGCUUAGUUUGGACAUGAUAACCAAUCCAAAAACAAAAGAUGGUGCGCAGAAAAAUCAAUCAAAGCAAAUUAAUAAAGGGUCCGUAAGAGAAGCAAAUAGACGGCUAGUGGUCGCUGGCCAAAAUCGAAUGACUGAAGGCAAGAGAUAGGCUCAAUGAUCACCGUGCUCUGAUACCUAGUCGUAGGACUUUCAUUUCGACUUUCCUAGUUACCACUCCAUGGGUCGUAUGAAAAGCAUCGAUAAAGACUCAUGUUCAAAGCGCUAUGCACCUCCUAGAACUCUUCUUGGAGUCUGAGCUUAGAGGUCUCUUUUAUCAGCUUAUUCCACUUCCGUAGGGACUCUUCCAAGUCAUCUAAUCCCGUAGCUUUUAAGAGGUAUCUGGAGAGCAGGACGCUGGUAGGAGGAUCACAGACUCAAAGCCUGAGAAGCCGGGAGGAUUGGUUUACCACCGGUCCUUUAUUAAGUAAAUAAAUAACUCAUGAUCUCAAAAAGCAGAGGCUCUGAUCAUCCCUGUGCUCUGAUACCAUGCUUCCGAAUAGAAUAUGAAGAAUAUUGGAGAAAAUUGUACUACGUAUUUAUUGACUUUCCUACAAGUAUUACAAGCCUAUUUAUAAUACAAGAAGGUUGUACAAUGGGAAAGAAUAUAUGCAAUAACGUUUCAUAUUCUAUAUUUCAAAUAUAUAAUUUAACGGAUUGAUCAUGUCAAUUAACCCGCAAUUAGAAUAAUUAGAAUCAAAUCAUAUCUCAUUCUCUAAUAGGCUCCUUGAAAGCCAAAACCUGCUAUUGUCAAGAUGUAUGGAAAAUAGCCUUUCUAGGUUCAUCACAUUGCUCAUUUUUCAACACUUACAUGGCGCUCUCAUAUUUCAAAUAAAUCGUUCCCUUCCAUUUUCCCCCCGAACUCUUUUUUCCACGUUCCCACUACAAACUCUCCAACAACCCAUAUGGGUGUCACCUCUUACCGGCAAAAAAAUAAAAGAGCACAUGAACAUCAGUUUCCACCGUAAUUGGUUACAUUAUUCUACGUACUUUUAUUAAUAAUCAAAAUAUACGAACAAGUGCAAUACAAGAGAGAAUUAUAGUUUAUUGAAAAAUGAGAUAUAAUUAUUCGUCAGACUCUACAUAAUUGACUCUAUAAUAUACAAACCAUGUUCCCUAUUAUCACGAACAAAAGGCAUAUCCCAUUAACUAGUUAUCUUAUUUCUUCGAUCCUCCUUAGUGCUUUAACUUGUACAAUGUAACUCAAAGUUCCCAUGAGUACAAACACACCAAUAGCAUUCUCAUUCACUAGUGUGUCGCUUCCCCAUUUUCCUGGUCAAGAAAUGGGUAAUCUAUGUAACCAACAAUGGGAUCUUGAGUAUAAAAUGUCUCUCUGUUGUAACCAUUCAAUGGUGCAUCCACCUUGAAUCGGUAGACCAAAUCAGGGUUAGAGAUGAAAAGUCGACCAUACGAUAUCAAGUCUGUGUCUCCUCCAGCCAAAGCCUUCAUCCCAAGCUCUCGGGUGAAACCGCCGCUUAACAUGAAAGUACCUUGAUAAGCUCUCCUCCAAGUUCUUAUCAAUCGAGCUUCUUCAUCCUCCUCUUGUUCACCAUAAUUUUUCGUGCCAUUGGCUGUGAAUCGAGGUUGAGUCACAUGGAGAUACACAAGUUUGGAACCUAUCUCAUUUUGGAACUUGUUCGAUCGCUCAAUGACUGCUAGGCCUAAACUGAGUGGAUCGGAGUCCGUGGCAUCAUUGUGGUCAAUUGCUGGUGAGAUUCUAACUCCCAUUCGAUCAGUGCCAACUUCUUCAGCCACCACUUUGAUGAUCUCCAUCAAGAAUCUGCAUCUAUUCUCAAUUGAUCCUCCAAAUUCAUCUACUCUAUCAUUGAUUGAGUCCUUUAAGAAUUGAUCAAUGAGAUAGCCAUGUGCUCCAUGCACCUCAACACCAUCAAAACCUAAAGCGGAAAUUGAUUUGAUUAUUAAUACUUAUGUGCAACAAACGAAGUAAAUACAAGUAAUUUUAGCAUCUAUCACGAUAUGAUUAUAGUUCAUGGACUAACCUGCUCGAAUGGCAUUUGCAGCUGCUUGGCGAUAUUGCUCGAUAACCUGCCAUACUUCGUGUGUUUGGAGAGCUCUUGGUUUGUGAGGAACAUCGAGAGUCCCGUCAGGCAUGAUGAUUUUCCAUUUAUCGGAGACGGAUUGAUUUGUCGAUGAAAUCGGAGCGCCUCCAUCGGGUUGAUAAACUAAUACAAUCACCAUUAUAUAAUACCAAUUGUUGUUAGAAGCAAGUAUAGAAGGUGAAAUUUAAUAAGUUAACAUUGCCAAAGUAGGAAAAAAGUAUAACAGCAAAAACAGAUUGUCAAAUUCAAAUAGUGCAGGUCGUGAUUAUGUGAUAUAUGGGGGAGCUACAGAAAUAUUUGGUGGCGUCGGUUUGAGAAAAUGAAUUUAGUACCACGGUUGGAGGCACGACCAACGUGCCAAAGUUGACAGAAGAUGAUGCCGCCCUUGGAAUGAACAGCAUCCACCACCUUCUUCCAUGCUUCGACUUGCUCUUCAGUGUAAAUCCCUGGAGUACCCGGAAACCUGGUUUAACAACAUUUUAUUUCUCAAACUUAAAGAUCCUCCUAUGAUCCAGAGCGAAGUUCAUAUUACUUGCUGUCAAGCAAUGAAUAGGGUAUAAAUAGCUUGCGGUGCUCGGGUGUACAUCGGUAUGUAGAAAAUUUCAGUUCCUUUCUGCGUGAUAUAUACAAGACAGCUUGAUCUCAGGACAAUAGGACGUACCCAGCGGCCGUGUCAGAGAUGAGGGUGCCUUCGGUGAUGAGAAAACCACCCUUGGUCGUUCUUUGCGCAUAGUACUCUGCAUGCACCGGCAAUGGAAUCCCAUUGAUCGCUCUGCAUCUCGUCAUAGGCGCUAGCACUACCCUGUGAGAGAGAUCGAACUUGCCCAUCUGGCAUGGAGUGAAGAGGUUCGCGGCCAUUUCGUGCGUAGCUUGUAUUCUGUCAAGAACGAACAACAAGGAUUGAUACUAAGAAUAUGAUGGUGAAGAUUUG